CCCAGUAACGGCGAGUGAAGCGGCAACAGCUCAGAUUUGAAAUCUGGCCCCCCGCGGGCCCGAGUUGUACUUUGGAGAGGACGCUUCUGGCGCGGCGCCGGCCGAGUGCCCUGGAACGGGCCGCCGGAGAGGGUGAGAGCCCCGUACGGCCGGCCGCCUAGCCUCUGCGAAGCUCCUUCGACGAGUCGAGUAGUUUGGGAAUGCUGCUCAAAAUGGGAGGUAAAUUUCUUCUAAAGCUAAAUACCGGCCAGAGACCGAUAGCGCACAAGUAGAGUGAUCGAAAGAUGAAAAGCACUUUGAAAAGAGGGUUAAACAGUACGUGAAAUUGCUGAAAGGGAAGCGCCUGUGGCCAGACUUGCGCCCCGCGGACCACCCGGCGCCCGCGCCGGGGCACGCCGCGGGGCGCAGGCCAGCAUCGGCUCUCCCAGGGGGACAAAGGCCGCGGGAACGUAGCGCCCUCGGGCGUGUUACAGCCCGCGGCGCCAUGCCCCUGGGGGGGCCGAGGACCGCGCUCCGGCAAGGAUGCUGGCGUAAUGGCCACCGGCGACCCGUCUUGAAACACGGACCAAGGAGUCAAGCAGUGGGGCGAGUGUCUGGGUGGCAAACCCGCACGCGGAAUGAAAGUGAACGCAGGUGGGAGCUUCGGCGCACCACCGACCGAUCCUGAUGUCUUCGGAUGGAUUUGAGUAGGAGCCUUGCCGCUUGGACCCGAAAGAUGGUGAACUAUGCCUGUAUAGGGUGAAGCCAGAGGAAACUCUGGUGGAGGCUCGCAGCGGUUCUGACGUGCAAAUCGAUCGUCAAAUAUGGGCAUGGGGG
rnacentral:rRNA from 1 species